AGGACUCCUCAUCCUUUGGUUCGCCGCGAUCUGCCGACCGUACGCCCCGAACAACCUAAAAAAUAAAUCGGCUAAGUAUGUAGAAAGUGUCCGUGCCGCCCGUUUGAACAGGGGUUCAACUCCCCUCACCUCCACCA
rnacentral:tmRNA from 1 species